UGGCCUUCACAUUCACAACCUCUCCAGAUGACAAGUUUACACUAUAGCUCACUGUGAUGGGUUCAACCUUCUCUUGGACAGUUACAUUCAGAAGGCAAGAAACCAUCCUGUGCCUCCGUUCAGUAGGAAUGUCGAUAGCAGGAUUGGCGAGGAAUGCAAGAACUAUAUGGAGCAAACCAACCUUGAUCACCUUGCUCAAGUUGGCUGUUAUGAAAUGGCCAUUCUCUAAGGUGAAAAAAUCGUUCUUCAUUACUGCUUUGGAUAUUCUCUGAACACCAAUGCUGUCAUAGAUGCUGUUAAGCCUUGCUCGAGACAUGGAAGGUAUGGUAGAUGGAGGAUACCAGAUGAAAAGCGAGUGCUCAGGAAGCUUCUUGAACAAAUCUGUAAGCAGUAGAUCAUCAGGAAUGAACACAUCUUCCUUCUUUGAUAAAGUGAUCUUUCCAUCAAUACAUACUGGGACCUUGACACAACUAGCAAGAAGUUUCUGUGUAUUUUUGCUCCAAUUAGUUGCAAUGAACAUCCAGAAAGCAGAGCAAUCAGGUAUAUCUAGCUCAUGAACAGAUCUCUCCCAUGUGCUCCAUAGAUUGCAGUAGUCUUCAGAAUCAGGUCCAUGCCUCACACCAAAAGCAAGUGAAAAGAAGCCAAGCAACUCCUUGUCAUAAUAUUUGUCUAGGACAUGUAUUUGCUGGCUAAAAAGAUUGUUCUUAUCAGAAAGAACACAACAUCCUGAGCUCACCCAUUCUCCAUCCUCCGUUUCAUUUGGUAUCCAAAUCCAAUUACUGCUUUUGUCUUUCUCAUUUGGUUUCCAGUUGCACUUCAUCAGGUACAAGUAGAUACGGGAAAUAGUAGUUCUAACCUUGUGGCUCCUCAAAUGACGAGCAACAACAUCUUGUCCACAAUUAACAUCCACAGUCACUCCGAUUAUCGCAAGGGAAUCUUUGAAUGAGACUAUCUCUGAGCCAUAGAAAGCUUCAUCAAUGAAAGGACCAUCUUCCAUGCAGAGAGAAGACUGCUUUGCAUCAAAAAGGAUACAUUCAUCAGGACAUUGGUAGCCCAUGGAUGUCUUUAACCACUUCAUGCAAAUCUUGUCCUCAAAGCCCUUAGGAGGUGAAACUGCAGAUUUGAAGUAGCUCCUGAUGCAGGCAAGAAGUGACACAACAGUAGCUUUGGUCAUGGUGGAAGGUGUUAGGAAUAGCACUUGUAUUCAUAACAGGGGCUCUAGGCCCAUAUAUAUACAGGUACAAGAAGGGGAAAAUAUACAGAAAACCCCCUAAUACAAAAGGUAAAUCACCAACAGUACAUAUACAUCUAACACCCCCCCUCAAACUCAUGGUGGGUCAAGAACACUGAGUUUGGAGAGGAAAAAUCUAUGCUGAAUACGAGUCUGGGCCUUGGUAAAGAAAUCAGCCAGCUGCAAUUCGGAAGGCACAUACUGAAGAGCAAUAACCCCAUCCUGAACCUGUGAACAUGUAUAAGAAACAUCCACACCAAUAUGCUUAGUAAGCUCAUGCUUCACUGGAUCGCGAGCAAUACUGAUAGCUCCGGUACUGUCAGACAAAAGAGGAGUCGGCACAGAAACAGAAACACCAAAAUCCUCAAGCAACCACCGUAACCAAGUCACCUCUGCCGUCACAAAUGCCAUAGCACGCAACUCAGCCUCAGCACUCGAACGAGAAACGGCUACCUGCUUCUUAGUCUUCCAAGCAAUAAGGGAACCACCAAGAAAAACACAAUAGGCAGAAAGAGACCGACGAUCAGAAGGAUCACUAGCCCAUGUAGCAUCACAAUAAGCCGUGAGAUGUAAGGAACUAGAGCGUGGAAAGAAUAGACGGCGUGAAAUUGUCCCACGAAGAUAACGUAAGACACGAAGAAGAUGGCUAUAAUGAAGAUGAGAAGGAGCUGAAACAAACUGACUCAGAAUAUGCACAGCAUGAGAGAUAUCAGGACGAGUAACACCAAGAUAAACGAGACUCCCAACAAUAUGACGAUAACGAGUGGGAUCCUCAAGAGGCUCACCAUCAGUGGCGCGAAGAUGAACAUUAAGUUCCAUGGGAGUCUCAACAGUCCGAUGAUCAGUAAGAGAAGCCCGAUCAAGAAGGUCCUGAAUAUACUUUUCUUGAGACAGAUAGAAGCCUUCGGGCAUAGAAGAAACCUCAAUCCCAAGAAAGAAACUAAGAGGACCAAGAUCAGACAUAAGAAACGUCUCACUGAGACGGGCCUUGACAAAGGCAAUAUACUGAGAAUCAUCUCCAGUAAUGAUCAUAUCAUCAACAUAAAGAAGGAGAAGAGUCCGACCUCGAGGUGAAGUAUGUACAAACAAGGCAGGAUCAUGCGCACUAGCAGAAAACCCAGCAGCAGUGACCACGGAGGCAAAGCGCUGAAACCAAGCACGAGGAGCUUGUUUUAGCCCAUAAAGUGAGCGACGAAGACGACAAACCAUACCCUCAGGAACAGAAUACCCAGGCGGCGGCUGCAUAUAAACCUCCUCACGCAGCUCACCAUUAAGAAAGGCAUUCUUGACAUCAAGCUGAGAGACGAACCACCCACGAACAGAGGCCACAGCAAGAAGGGUGCGAACUGUGGUCAUGUGAGCAACAGGAGCAAAAGUCUCAUCAUAGUCACGACCAUGCUCCUGCUGAAAACCACGAGCAACAAGACGAGCUUUAUAGCGCUCAAGAGAGCCAUCAGAGCGAGUCUUGACCUUAUACACCCACUUGCAUGUAAUAGGGCGCACAUUGGCAGGACGAGAAACAAGGUCCCACGUGUGAGUGCGCUCAAGAGCGGCAAUCUCCUCAGCCAUAGCGUGUUGCCAUUCCGGAUGAGGAAGAGCAUCACGAUAAGAGGACGGCUCCGAAAGAAUAGUGGCAGCAUAAGCAGAGGGAGAAUAACAAUCAGGACGCCUAUGAAGACGAUGACUACGACGCAGAAGUGGCUCAGGAGAUGAAUCCUCUGAAAAAGAAGCCUCAGUAGGAGAAUAAGGCAUAUCAGACGAAGAGGGCACAAUAGAAGAUGGCACAUCAGAAGAAGAUGGCACAUCAGAAGGCCGAACUCUACGAGUAUAGACAUGUGUCACCGGGGGCUUCACAGAAAAAUCAGUAGGACAUUCCAGAGAAGUAGACUCCGGGGGAAGUACAUCAGCACGAUGAGUAGGCGAGGAGACUACAGGGGGGACCACCGGAGGACGUGAUAAAGGGGUGAUAGCAAUAGAAGUAUCAGGUAAUAUUAAGAAGGAAAGGGGAUCGACCAAAGACGCCGGGGAAACAUCAGAAGAAGGACGAGGAUAGAAAGAACGAGAUUCAUCAAAAAUAACAUCCCGAGAAAUCCGCAUCCUACGCCCAACUGGGUCCCAACAACGAUAUCCCUUAUGCUCAGAACUAUAGCCGAGAAAAACACACUCGACAGAUUGAGCAGUCAGCUUCGUGCGCUCACGAGGUGCAAGAAGCACAUAGCACACACAACCAAAAAGACGAAGACUAGAGUAGUCAGGCACCUUAUUUAGAAGACGCUCAAAAGGAAUCUCACCAUGAAGCGCAGAAGAAGGUUGAAUGUUAGUCAAGUAAGUGGCUGUAGACACAGCCUCAGCCUAAAAGUGAGGCGGAACAGAAGAAGCAAGCAGAAGAGCACGAGCAGUCUCAAGGAGAUGACGAUGCUUGCGUUCGGCCACACCAUUCUGAGCAUGGGCGUCAGGACAAGAAAACUGAGCAAGAGUGCCCUGCUCAGAGAGAACCUGACGAAGAGUUACGGAAAGGUACUCGCCAGCAGAGUCAGCACGAAAGACACGGAUAGAAGUGUCAAAAUGAGUGCGAAUCAUAGAAGUAAAAGACUUAUAGAUGGAUAAGGCCUCGGUACGGUGGUUCAUAAAAUAAAUCCAUGUAUGACGAGAAAAAUCAUCUAUGAAUAUAAUAUAGUAUCGAUGGCCCCCUUUAGAAACAAAGGGAGCAGGACCCCAGACAUUCGAAUGAACAAGAUCAAAAGGACGCUGUGACACAGACUCACUAGAAUGAUAGGGAAGCUGAAUUUGCUUGCCCAACCGACAACCCUGACACUGAGCUAAGGACUCAUGACCUGAAACAGAACCUAGAAGACCACGACGAAUCAAACUAGAUAGACAGGAGCCACAUAGAUGACCCAAGCGAUGAUGCCACUGAUCAAAAGAUGUGGUCGACGAAGCAGCCAAAGCGGAGCCAACUAGACUGACGGGCGCAGCGGAAGGAAGACGAAGCCAGUCAAGCUCCCAAAGACGCUGAGAAUCACGACGACGAGGGCCAGUACCAACCAGCUGACCCGUGCGACGAUCCUGAACAUAACAAAUAUCAGGAUCAAGAAUGACACGACAGUUAUGAUCAGUAAGCUGGCCAGCGGACAUGAGCUGCAUGGUCAGAUCGGGAACAUAAGAAACAUUAGGGACAUGAAAGGAGUCAGAUAGGAGAGUGCCAUGUCCGACAACAGGAAGAGAAGAACCAUCGGCUGUAUGAACAGUAGGAGAACCAGGUGGAGACCGUAUGGAAGAAAGACAGGUGCAAUCAGGAGUCAUAUGAAACGAAGCACCAGAAUCAAGAAUCCAUGGACAAAUACCUGGAGUAGACGUGGAAGGUGAUCCCAAAGCGGAAGACUGCGAAGCAGCAGCAGAACCUAUAGGUGCAGAGGGCUGAGUCACAGAACCCGCAGCACCUGGUGACGUAGAGGUAACAAGGCGACUGAGCAACCUGAUGAUCUCCUGUGUCUCAGAACCAGCAGAACUCCUCUGAGGACUGCCAGAACCAGAACCACCAGUAGCACUAGCACUCAGCGAAGAACGAGCAGAACCAGCAGGAGCACUAGGACCCUGUGAAGAACGUCCACCGCGGCGAGACUGACCCUCACGAGACUGAGCCUUCUUCUUCCUGUAACAAAAGGCCUCCACAUGAUUAUCCUUGCCACACCAAUCACAUUUAAGACCACCCCCUCGACUCUCGGAAGAAGGCACCGCAGGACGAGUAGAGGAGCUGACAGCCAAAACGGAAGAAUAUCGCAUCAAUCCAGCAGUAAGAAGGCGAGUCUCCUCAUUACGAACAGCAGCAAGAGCCUCCAUCAGGGAGACACAGGGAUGUCGAGCAAGCAGCUGUGCAUGAAGGGGCUCAAACUCAUCCCGAAGGCGUGUCAAGAAGUCGUAGGUGCGACGAAGCUCAAGAGCCUGCUGCUGACCCAGGCAGGACUGGCAGGUGCUAGGAGACAAUGGAGGACUAAGAGUGUCGAGCUGGCGCCAAAUAGUAGAAAUCUGACCAUAGAAAUCAUCAACGGUACCAUCACCCUGUCGAACGAGCUGCUCCUGACGAAUGGCUGCAAGAAAAGUAGAUUGACCAGUGGGCUCAUAACGUGUGCGAAGAAAAGCCCACAUCUGAUGUGCAAAAUCAAGCUCAAUAAUAUCAGCCGAAACCCUGUCGUCAAUGCUAGCAACGAGAAUAGAAGCAGCUCGAGCAUCCUCAUCAACCCAUGUCCGGUAUGCAGUAAACUGAGACUCAUAGGAUGCAAGGCCAUCAUCAUAAUCAGCAAGGAGCUUCGCCACAUCUGUAUCAUGAGUAGCAAGCAACCGAUCCAUCUCGUCAGCCGUAGCCUUCUCUGGAAUCACUGGCUUCGCAGGAAGCACCGGGUAUGUAGGAGCAGUAGGACGAGGUGGACAAGGCAACUCGCCAGUAAGAAACUCCCAAAGACGAAGACCACGCAUAUGAAUCCGUAGACGAGGAACCCAAUCGCGAUAGUUGUUGCCAUUGAAUAGGACCGGGCAACGUAACACUGGGACACCACCAGACGAAGGAGCCGAAGGAGCCAUGGCGACGGCGAGAGCGCAAGUAAAACAGCGGCGGGCGACGGCGAGAGCGCAGAAGAAAAGCGGCGCAAGCUUCUUUUUUUUUUUUCCUCUGAAACGCACGUGCACAGUACAAAGCAGCGGCGCACAGUUUUUUUUUUGUUUUUUUACUUUUUUUUUUUACUUUUUUUUUUACCAAACUCCUUCAGGAGUCCUUAUCCGGGCACGCGCACCACACCGCACAGCACAGGCGGCGACGCAAGCAGCGGGACAGCGCGGGCGUCAAAUCCGCCGGGCGGCGAGGCCGGUGGGGCGGCGCGGACGGCGAAAGGCGAGGCCGGUGGGGCGCCGAGGCUGCGCGGGCGGCGGAAACGGCGAAUCCGCGGCGGCAGCACGGGCGGCGGGCGGCGAGGCCGGCGGGGCACCGGGGCGGCACGGGCGUCGAGACCGCCGGGGCGGCGCGGGCGGCGGGCGGCGAGACCGCCGGGGCGGCGCGGGCGGCGGGCGACGAGACCGCCGGGGCGGCGCGGGCGGCGGGCGGCGAGACCGCCGGGGCAGCGUGGGAUGAGGACGAAUCCGGCGGGUGGAGAGCCAGACGGGCGGCGGCCGGAGCUGAUGAAGAAGAAGAGCACGCAAGUGCAACGUGCGGGGGAAAAAAAAGGAACCCUAAGGCAGAUUGGGAAGAAAUCUAACCCUAGUUCGGCUCUAAUACCAUGUUAGGAAUAGCACUUGUAUUCAUAACAGGGGCUCUAGGCCCAUAUAUAUACAGGUACAAGAAGGGGAAAAUAUACAGAAAACCCCCUAAUACAAAAGAUAAAUCACCAACAGUACAUAUACAUCUAACAGAAGGAUUACUAGGAAUUGUGAGACCUGAAAUGGCAAAUCUAGCACCAUUUUUCGCUUCAACAGUGACACCCAAUUCCUUAAGCUCAUCUUCGUAGCCAUAAAUAUCAUGUCCUAAACCAUGAAAAGAGUCACCAUCAUCUAUGAAUGGUAA
rnacentral:lncRNA from 1 species